CGCAAUGUAGCACUGUGUUGUUUCGUGAGACAAAAAAAUUACACCAUCUAAUCACGCAUCAAGAAAUUACGUAUGGCUUCAAAAAAGGAAAAAAUAAAUCAGACAUGAACGGAGAGCCGCCGCAUCGAAAGUCAAUGAUGCGCAUGCUACAGAUUAUAUUUUUCCUUUAAACUUUGGUCUCAUCGAUCCAUGGACCCCAAGACUUCACUUAUUUUGUGAUAUGGACGGUGUAGUACACAGAGCCCACAAGGAUAUCAUGCCGCAGAGGAUCUGCCGAAUUUAUUCUAGAAUCCUCCCUACAAAAAGAAAAGAACAUAUUCCGGGAUGAACAGAGCUCAGUCUUCGUAGGAGCAUGUUGGCCUGAUGUCCGUAUUUUUAUUAUAGCUAGUUGCAUCUUUGUUUAUUUCUGCCACGAAAAAGUCUCUCCCUUUGCAUUUAAAAACACAUGUUCCUCGGCUGGCUGGCUAUUCGUUCGGUUUUAGCUACCGCCGAGAUGCUUGAUCGAAAUUUCCCCUUAUUCUAUGACCUCAAUCCUGUCAAACAAACAGAGCAAACACCACAGCACAAGACAAAACAAUUUCACCUGUAAGCACUUUGUUCAUGUCUUCUUCCCAUGGCACACUGUUUUUGCCCCUGUAUUGUUUCCUUCAUGUGUAAAAACAACUUGCUAGACAGUAGCACUGGAGCAGGUUUACCGUUUGCGAUGCAUGCAUCUUCUUCCGCUGCAAGAAUGAAGGACACCAGACGUAUUCCUAAGCUGAAAAUGACUCUUAACCGCAUCGGUUGCACCCUAUAAUCCCACCGGUUUGUUCGUAGGGUGGUGGUAGGUUUAUUAUGCCGGAAGAUCUGUGCGUGUGUGUGUGUGAGUGUGUUUCUUGCUUUGGUUGUUGG
rnacentral:lncRNA from 1 species